UUUAAACCAGCGUUUGCGCCGCUGCCUCCGUUUGUCAGUGAGGAAGCGUCGUUACCGGAGAGUCUGGAUCGUGGAUAACACAUCCAAUAACAACAACAACAACAACAACAACAACAGUAAUAAUAAUACAUCCAUGGUCUGGAUGCUACAACAAACACCGGAGCUGCUUUUUGUCGAACACAAGAGAGACUGGACGUUGAACACAGCUGUGACGCGAAGGAUUCAAACUUUAACUAUUAAAGCACAGAGAGAAGAGACAGACGUGAAGACAUUUCCAGAAGAGUGAGAGGAGACUCAGCUGGGUUCAUCGUUUCCAACCCCCCCCCACCCCAAAUUCACUGAGGCCAGAGGAGGAGCAGCAGGAGGAGGAGGAGCAGGAGGAGGAGCCGCCAGUAAUGACUCACAUUAACAGAAUACCAGUGUCUGACUCCUUCUCUUCCUCUAACUCCUUUAAAUGUUCU